GGGUUGUGAGGUUAAGCGACUAAGCGUACACGGUGGAUGCCCUGGCAGUCAGAGGCGAUGAAGGACGUGCUAAUCUGCGAUAAGCGUCGGUGAGGUGAUAUGAACCGUUAUAACCGGCGAUUUCCGAAUGGGGAAACCCAGUGUGUUUCGACACACUAUCAUUAACUGAAUCCAUAGGUUAAUGAGGCGAACCGGGGGAACUGAAACAUCUAAGUACCCCGAGGAAAAGAAAUCAACCGAGAUUCCCCCAGUAGCGGCGAGCGAACGGGGAGCAGCCCAGAGCCUGAAUCAGUGUGUGUGUUAGUGGAAGCGUCUGGAAAGGCGCGCGAUACAGGGUGACAGCCCCGUACACAAAAAUGCACAUGCUGUGAGCUCGAUGAGUAGGGCGGGACACGUGGUAUCCUGUCUGAAUAUGGGGGGACCAUCCUCCAAGGCUAAAUACUCCUGACUGACCGAUAGUGAACCAGUACCGUGAGGGAAAGGCGAAAAGAACCCCGGCGAGGG
rnacentral:rRNA from 1 species